rnacentral:rRNA from 1 species
AUGGCCGGUCGGUUAGUGUUGCUCAAUUCAGUCCUCUCGGUGUUGACCAUCUACUGGAUGAUAGUGCACCACCUGCCGGCUUGGGUGCGCCGCCAGAUCGAUAAGCUUCGGCGGGCUUGGUUAUGGCGUGGCCAGGAGUCGUGCCAGGGUGGCCACUGCAAGGUGGCUUGGGCUCGGAUAUGCAGGCCUCGUGACCUCGAUGGGCUGGGUAUUCUAGACCUUGAUCGUCUAGGGGCUGCCUUGCGGCUGCGCUGGCUGUGGUGGGAGCGCACGGCGCCCAGCAAGCCCUGGAUUGGGCUG